GGGGGCAGCCGGGCGGCCGGGAAGGCCUGUAAACCCACUCCCGAGGGGUUCGAGUCCCCUUGCCUCCA
rnacentral:tRNA from 1 species